CUUCUCUCUCUAUAUAUAUUUCUUGUAUAUACCAUCAAAACAAUCAGUUUUCAAAUCCAGUGGUAUUUUGGGCAGCUUUAUCUAAAUUUAUGGAUCAGAAAGAGAUGCAGCAUAAAAAUCUUACUAUACCUAAAAAUAAACAUUGAGAAGUAGAGAUGUGGGCUGGGGAUUUAGCUCAGUGUUUUCACCGCCUGCUGCGCAAGCUCAAAGACCUGAGUUCGAUCUCCAGUAACAAAAAACAAAAACAAAAGUAGAGAUGCAUUUACAUUUUUAAAAUAAAAAGUCAGAAGAGCUUAUUCUCUUAGAGGAUGUACUCUAAUUCUUGUUCUUUUUUCAAGUAUUAGUUGUACCAUGUUGGCAAAGGUCAUUUUUUUAAAUCUUUCUCUUUCUCCAGGGGAGCUAUGUAUUAUUGUAAUGGUUUUACUGGGACUCUUGCUGGAUGCAACAAACAAACAAACAAACCUCUAACAUAGAUCAAAAAGUAGAUGUAAAUAAUGAAAAGAAUAAGAAAAACAGUGGGAUUGAAAAUAACGUUAAAUCACAUAGAUCCAUCCGUGGAAUAUAUGAUCAGGAUAUAAGGGCACUGAGAAGAAUGUGAUUGACAUAACUUUGUUUUGAUUUACAAUGACAGAGUAAUAGUUUAUGUAUCCUUGAAUUACAUGAAUAAAAUUGUAAUCACUUGAAGUUAAUUCCUAGAGUGCUAACUAGUUUUAGAAAUAAAAAAGUACUUAGAUUAUCUGAGAAUCCAUUAAAGAAAAAGAAAGAUUCCCCCAGUAAAGCCAAAUGAAAUAUAAAGUUUUGAUGUCAAAUUAAGAAUUAUAAUCCAUUGAAUAUAUUUCAUUUUAAGUUAUAGAGAGAUUUCAUUAAGCUUUAAGUCCUGAUAAAACUUUAUCACACUAUUGGUAAACAUGAAAGCAUUCAUCGGGGUUUUUUUAAACCUGUAAUGUGUUCCCAUACUCUGAUAUCUACAUAUACUGUAAUCAUAAAUAGACUGUAUUUUUCCUUAAGAACAAGAAUAAAAUGGAGAGCUGCAUUCUUGCCUAUAAUUCAGCCUCAGAAAGAAUAUCAGGUAGGACUCUUACACUCAUAAUUGUAUAUAUGAAAUUAUAUUUAAAUUUAGUAUAUUGUGACUAAAUAAUUCUAUACUUACAUUAUAUAAGAGCAUAGCUUAAAUGGAAUGAUUGGUAUGAGUAAAGUUGCAACUAACAAUCAGUAUUUAAUAAACACAUAACAAAUGAAAUGCAUACAUAAAAUUAUCAAAUAUCUAUAUCAAUGCUCUUCCCACUCUUGGAAAAUUUGCUGUAUUAAGGAACCACAUUCCUGAUUACUGUAUUAGUCUUAUCAUUAGGGUUGAAGUGACACAAUAACAACAAAUUUAUCCAGUUCUUCACUGUUAUGUCACAGGAAGUCUGGACAUAGUUGUACUAUGCUUCUGUUGAUCAUCUUUCACUGGCCUUGACAUGGCACUGUAAGGUCACCAAAACAAUUACCAAAGGUUUAUUAAACACAUUGCAAUUAGAGUUUCAAACACUAUCGACACUCACUUUAAUAAAUUUAAAGUUGGCUCUGCCUACCUAUGUUUGCAGUUUAGAAGUGAGAUGGCACAACUCAAAUAUUUAAGGAGCAUUUUCUAUGCACAGACUGUUCCAGAUAGACUAGAAAGAGGAAAUAUGAACUCUUAAGGAACAAACAGAGAGAGAGAAGAUGAUUAGUUAUACAAUUUAAGAAAAGAUGGAUAAUCUGGGAAGAUUUCCAGGAAGAUAUGUGUUUAAAAAUAUGACUUUGAGGAUUUAAUAUGCCCAUAGGUGAGAGAAAUAGAGAUCACAAUUUCUGGUUGAGAAAGAAGCUUGAAUAAAGAAACAGAAGUAUGGACAAAAAUGAAAAUUCCAUUUUAAUUGGAAGUAAUGAUUCAUAUCAAGAUAAUCAAAAGUGAAGCUGGAAGGAAAGACCUAGAGUUACACUUGAGAAAUGAAAAUACAGACUUCAGGUGGCCAGAUGACUUUAUAAAAUCAGGAAGAAUGAAUAGAGAUACUUAAGUACAAAAAGAAGUUAUUAAACCUUCGGAAGAUUCAUCUUAUUAUUACAUUGGGUGUAAGAAGCUUAAAGCAGCUUUUAAAAUAUAGAAAGUGAGUAAGGAUGGAAAUGGAUGUACUGGUGAAAUAAGUUUUCAGUGGGAGGGGGAGAUAACCUGAAAUAAGAAAGAGAAUUGGCAGAUACUAAAAUCUGAUUAGCAAAUGGUAUUGACCAAAAUAAAUGGUGUGCACAUGGGGCCCGAAGGUCCUACAUCGAACAAUAUUUGUCUGUGUGUGAAUAAACACUCAAAUGUUAGAAAGAAAUUCUGGAUGUAUUAUAGUCUUGCUUGCUGUUGUAUUUAAAUCAAAUGCACACUUUUAAGCUUUUUAAUAAUUUAUGUACUAGGGAUGUAAAAAUGAACACUAUCUCAAAGUAUACAUUAAAGGUAGUUUGUCUGGUUUAUUAUUAUUUUCAUAAGAUCUGCUACUUAUCAAAAGGGCUUUCUCUUCAAAUAGCCUCUUUUAUCUUUCUAUCCUAGCAUAUAUAUAUUCUAGGAAAAGGGAGGGGGAAAAAGAGAACUGUGAAAAGAAAGAGGCUAUUGUGGGACCAGAAGAAUACAGGAAAUUGAUAACAUUUUCAACCUUUAAUUUCUGAAAUAUUCGUCUUAAUAAAUAAUUUUUUAUUGCUGAACAAUGAAAUGUACUUGGACCCUUUGGUUCUGUGAAUUUUUGUGACUGUGAUAACUGAAAUACCAUUAAGCAGCAAUGGGUUAAGAACAAACUUUUUGGACAUGAUUUACUUAAGUGCAAAAAUUGAGGUCUGAAUAAAUCGCUGUAAUAGUAAUUAUUUGUAUCAACUGUGUGUAGUCAUUUUAUUUAGUAAAGUUUUUUGGCUUGUGAUGAAAAUGCUUUUGUUCAGUUUCUGCUUUAUCUUUUUGAGAAGCAUUUAUGUGUGGCAAAGAUUUUAAUUUUUCAAUGUGUUC
ensembl:lncRNA